GCCUAGCCAUAAACCUUAAAUUUUACACACCCCCCCCCGCCAGGGAACUACAAGCAACAGCUUAAAACCCAAAGGACUUGGCGGUGCCUAAAACCCACUCAGAGGAGCCUGUUCUAUAAUCGACAAUCCCCGCUAAACCUCACCACCUAUUGCAAUCUCAGCCUAUAUACCGCCGUCCCCAGCUUACCUUGUGAAAGAGGCCCAGUAAGCAAAACGACCACACCAAUACGUCAGGUCAAGGUGUAGCACAUUAGGUGGGAAGAAAUGGGCUACAUUUUCUUUUUAAGAAUAAACGAAUAAGCCUAACGAAAUAUAACUUUGAAGGCGGAUUUGACAGUAAAAAGAAACCACCACAU
rnacentral:rRNA from 1 species